UACGUAGGGCGCAAGCGUUAUCCGGAAUUAUUGGGCGUAAAGAGCUCGUAGGCGGUUUGUCGCGUCUGCCGUGAAAAUCCGGGGCUCAACCCCGGACUUGCAGUGGGUACGGGCAGACUAGAGUGUGGUAGGGGAGACUGGAAUUCCUGGUGUAGCGGUGAAAUGCGCAGAUAUCAGGAGGAACACCGGUGGCGAAGGCGGGUCUCUGGGCCGAUACUGACGCUGAGGAGCGAAAGCGUGGGGAGCGAACAGG
rnacentral:rRNA from 1 species